GAGAGGGCAAGGAGGGGUGAAACCCUAACUUCACAAAAUCCACAAGAAUUACUAGAAAUCUUAAGGAAAUCGAAAGAAUAAUCAUCAAAUUCUAAGUUCCUACACCUGUUCUUUGAAGUGGAUAGGAAACCAAAAUUGACAUGGACUCAAGUAUGGAAGGCUAACGGAUUAAGAGGAAAAGAGGAAGUUAUGCACAAACUUGGACGCACGAGGUUAUGAAUGUCGGACUUUCGAAGUGUUGAUAUAGUAAUGACAUGGUUGAAUGCUAGAAGGAUAAUCGGGUUGAAGUAACUUAAGCGGUUAGAUUAUGCUAUGGACAUUUCGGUUUAUACGAUAUUUCAUGGUUGGUCGUCACCACCUACUAACGGGUAAAUCCUCAAUUUAGGCGACUCGGCAAAUUGGAGCGAGCACGUGUUCUUCAUAUGUGAUGCCAAGCGCUUCCGCUAGUUGAUAUUAAUGUUUUGGGUCAAAAUACCUUUUUGUACAAUUUGUUGGUAGACGCAUUAUUUUUGUAUUCGAUGUUUGGUUUCAAUAGUAUCUUGUAGAAUGGUAAUUGUCUUGGUUAUGGUUCA